rnacentral:rRNA from 1 species
GUGGGGAAUAUUGGACAAUGGGCGGAAGCCUGAUCCAGCCAUGCCGCGUGUGUGAAGAAGGCCUUUUGGUUGUAAAGCACUUUAAGCGAGGAGGAGGCUCCUUUAGUUAAUACCUAAAGUGAGUGGACGUUACUCGCAGAAUAAGCACCGGCUAACUCUGUGCCAGCAGCCGCGGUAAUACAGAGGGUGCGAGCGUUAAUCGGAUUUACUGGGCGUAAAGCGUGCGUAGGCGGCUGAUUAAGUCGGAUGUGAAAUCCCUGAGCUUAACUUAGGAAUUGCAUUCGAUACUGGUCAGCUAGAGUAUGGGAGAGGAUGGUAGAAUUCCAGGUGUAGCGGUGAAAUGCGUAGAGAUCUGGAGGAAUACCGAUGGCGAAGGCAGCCAUCUGGCCUAAUACUGACGCUGAGGUACGAAAGCAUGGGGAGCAAACAGGAUUAGAUACCCCAGUAGUCC